AGGCAGAUGUCGAUGCCGGCGGCGUCGAGGUGGACGGCGGCGGGGUAGUCGUAGGCGGUGACCAUGGUGAUGGGUUCGCCGUGCUUGUGUUUAUUGUGGAGAUGAUAUUCUGAUGCCGUCAUGGUUUGACAUUCAUGAUAUUCCUAUAACCGUUGAUGAUGAGGAAGAAGGUGAAGAAGGAGAAGAAGAGGGCUUGAGUAAAUGUAUAGGGAAGGAGUUGAAGAAGCUUCUGCAGUGUCAUAGCCAUUGUAAAUAAUUUAUGUAAAAGUUUGCAAACAAUUUAUGUAUCUCUCUACUAUUUUGGUGAAUGUAUUAUUUGAA